rnacentral:rRNA from 1 species
AGCAGCCGCGGUAAUUCCAGCUCCAAUAGCGUAUAUUAAAGUUGUUGCAGUUAAAAAGCUCGUAGUUGAAUUUCGGGGUCAGUAGGCUGGUCAUGCCACAGGUAUGUACUGGUCUCACUGAUUCCUCCUUCCUGAUGAACCGUAAUGCCAUUAAUUUGGUGUUGCGGGGAAACUGGACUGUUACUUUGAAAAAAUUAGAGUGUUUAAAGCAGGCUAACGCUUGAAUACAUUAGCAUGGAAUAAUGAAAUAGGACGUUCGAUCCUAUUUUGUUGGUUUCUAGGAUUGACGUAAUGAUUAAUAGGGAUAGUUGGGGGCAUUAGUAUUCAAUUGUCAGAGGUGAAAUUCUUGGAUUUAUUGAAGACUAACUACUGCGAAAGCAUUUGCCAAGGAUGUUUUCAUUAAUCAAGAACGAAAGUUAGGGGAUCGAAGACGAUCAGAUACCGUCGUAGUCUUAAACCAUAAACUAUGCCGACUAGGGGAUCGGAUGAUGUUAAUUAUUUAAUGACUCAUUC